rnacentral:rRNA from 1 species
CUACCAUGCAGUCGAACGACUCUUCGGACUUAGUGGCGGACGGGUGAGUAACGCGUGGGAACGUGCCUUUAUGUUCGGAAUAACUCAGGGAAACUUGUGCUAAUACCGAAUGUGCCCUUCUGGGGAAAGAUUUAUCGCCUUUAGAGCGGCCCGCGUCUGAUUAGCUAGUUGGUGAGGUAAAGGCUCACCAAGGCGACGAUCAGUAGCUGGUCUGAGAGGAUGAUCAGCCACAUUGGGACUGAGACACGGCCCAAACUCCUACGGGAGGCAGCAGUGGGGAAUCUUGCGCAAUGGGCGAAAGCCUGACGCAGCCAUGCCGCGUGAAUGAUGAAGGUCUUAGGAUUGUAAAAUUCUUUCACCGGGGACGAUAAUGACGGUACCCGGAGAAUAAGCCCCGGCUAACUUCGUGCCAGCAGCCGCGGUAAUACGAAGGGGGCUAGCGUUGCUCGGAAUUACUGGGCGUAAAGGGAGCGUAGGCGGACAUUUAAGUCAGGGGUGAAAUCCCGGGGCUCAACCUCGGAAUUGCCUUUGAUACUGGGUGUCUUGAGUGUGAGAGAGGUAUGUGGAACUCCGAGUGUAGAGGUGAAAUUCGUAGAUAUUCGGAAGAACACCAGUGGCGAAGGCGACAUACUGGCUCAUUACUGACGCUGAGGCUCGAAAGCGUGGGGAGCAAACAGGAUUAGAUACCCUGGUAGUCCACGCCGUAAACGAUGAUUGCUAGUUGUCGGGAUGCAUGCAUUUCGGUGACGCAGCUAACGCAUUAAGCAAUCCGCCUGGGGAGUACGGUCGCAAGAUUAAAACUCAAGAAAUUGACGGGCG